rnacentral:rRNA from 1 species
UACGUAGGGUGCAAGCGUUGUCCGGAAUUAUUGGGCGUAAAGAGCUCGUAGGCGGUUUGUCGCGUCUGCUGUGAAAACUCAGGGCUUAACCCAAAGCGUGCAUUCGAUACUGCCGUGACUAGAGUUCGGUAGGGGAGCGGGGAAUUCCUAGUGUAGCGGUGAAAUGCGCAGAUAUUAGGAGGAACACCGGUGGCGAAGGCGCCGCUCUGGGCCGAAACUGACGCUGAGGAGCGAAAGCGUGGGGAGCAAACAGG